rnacentral:misc_RNA from 1 species
CAGCAAUGCUGUUAUCUCUUGGUGCCAAGGGCUACCGCGCUCUGCAGCCGAAUGCUUCCACCAAACUUUACCUGCCAAAGGUAAAUCGAUCGAGCGGAGCAGUCAUCGAUAUGUGGAUCAAGGCAAAAGAGCUCGAUGCAAACACUGACUACUACAUCGAACUAGUAGCUAAGGGGACUGAGAAGAGCAAGGAAGAGAUUGCGAAAGACAUCCAACGGCCGAAA